ACCUGGGUGGCGCAGUCGGUUGAGCGUCUGACUUCAGCUCAGGUCACGAUCUCGCGGUUCGUGGGUUCGAGCCCCGCAUCGGGCU
rnacentral:tRNA from 1 species